UGCCCGAUAGUAUAAUGGUAGUACGUCAGAUUCUGGCUCUGAUAGUUCUGGUUCGAGUCCAGGUCGGGUAA
rnacentral:tRNA from 1 species